AUGCCACCUUCCGUGCACAACACAGAAGGCCUGCCGUUCAUGAAGCAUGGUUGUGUCUUCAGUGCGCACCGCCGGAUGAACGACAUGCUGGGACACACUAUCCCUGAUUUAUCCCGCUUCAGCUUGGUUGCGUCUCCAUCGUGUGGAACCGGACUAGAAAGCUGCGACAAUGAUUCCCGUUGCCCACCGCUAUGGAUCGUGCCAUCCAUGAAGAACACCUGGGACUGGAACCUAGAGGAGGACAUCAGACGCAAAUGCGCUGGCCUUCAUGAUUCCAGGACCUGGAAUCAUACCAGCCGAUGGUCGAAGAAGGACUGGCCGGUGUUGCCGGCUGGCGUCAAGUUCGAUCCCACAGAUCAGGAGCUGAUCGAGCACCUUGAGGCCAAAGUGAGUGCUGACAGCGCAAGAUUUCAGUCUCUCAUCGAUUUGUUCAUACCAACCAUCGACAGCGAGCAUGGCAUAUGCUACACCCACCCUGAGAAACUUCCAUCAAAAAAGGUUCUGGUGCUGCACACCAACAAGAACUUCGACCAGCAGAGGACCAACUGGGUGAUGCACCAGUACCACCUCGGGGACCUGGAGCAAGAGAAGGAGCGGGAGCUGGUCCUCUGCAAGAUUUUCUACCAGACGAACACCAGGGCCAGGAGUAAAAAGAUUAUAAGUUGA
rnacentral:rRNA from 1 species